GCGUCUUCUGACUCUAUCCUCACCUGUUAGAGAACCAAAAAAAAAAAAAAAAACGCCGUCUCGUGACUCUCCCGUGACGCCUCCUGCAUUUUUCCGACGCCGGUGCUCCAUCCCGUCGCUUCUCGUCGACGCUGCUGCCGGAGCGCCAUCGCCAUCGCAUCUCCUCGGUGCUCCUUCCUUUCCCGUCGAUUUCUUCUUCGUUGCUCGACGUUCCUGCCUUCUCUCGACGUUCCUUCCUUCUCCGACGUCCGUUCCUUCUCCACAAGGCGAUUCCUCCGUCGGUCGAUUGUCUCCGGGAGCACACUUCCUCCGACAUUCUUCUCUUUGGUCGAUUUCUUCUCCAAAAAGGUGAAACCCUAGAUUUAUUUUGUUAUCUAUCUCAUGUAUUUUUUUUUUCUGAAAUGGUAAGUUUCAGGUUUGUAUACUGAAUUUCAUCUAUGACAACAAAAUUGAGGUGAAUAUUGCUCAACUAUCUCUAUUAUCAAAUUUUAAUGUAAUUGGAGCUUUAGAAUGUUAUGGGUACCAGCAUGUUGUUUAGGUUCUUCAAGUCUUUAAACUUCAAGGCUUUUCGGGGACAAUGUGUCUGUAAGAAAAAAGCUUGAAGGGUUUGCCAGCGUUUUUUUGGAUAUUGGCAAACGAUAUAUGUGUGAGGAUAGCAAAGUUAAAACCAAGAUUCUGUUUUUUGGGCUUCUCUUUGCUGCUUCAAAUAACUACACCAAAGAAUACUUGUAGAACUGUCCAUCUAUCCAGGAACAAUUGACGGCAUUUGAUUCAAAACUCAAAUUGAAGAACACAGGUCGGCCUUUAUUGACUCGACUUAACUCACCCGGUAAAUUGCCGAGUAAUCCACCAAAUAAUUCUUAGUUUUAUGUUUGUAAACACUUAGUUAAACAUUUGUGGUUGACACUUUUAAUGUGUAUUAUUAGAUACAUUUAAUGUAGUAUUAGACAAUGUUAGUAAUAUGUAUUUGUAUUUGAUAUUUUUUUAGUUUUAUUAGUUUUAUUGUAAUGUUAUUUGUUUUGUGGUUGAA